rnacentral:rRNA from 1 species
CUACGGGAGGCAGCAGUGGGGAAUUUUGGACAAUGGGCGAAAGCCUGAUCCAGCAAUGCCGCGUGUGCGAAGAAGGCCUUCGGGUUGUAAAGCACUUUUGUUAGGGAAGAAAUUUGCCGGGCUAAUACCCCGGUAGGAUGACGGUACCUUUCGAAUAAGCACCGGCUAACUACGUGCCAGCAGCCGCGGUAAUACGUAGGGUGCGAGCGUUAAUCGGAAUUACUGGGCGUAAAGCGUGCGCAGGCGGAACUGCAAGACAGAUGUGAAAGCCCCGGGCUCAACCUGGGAAUUGCAUUUGUGACUGCAGAUCUAGAGUGUGUCAGAGGGGGGUGGAAUUCCACGUGUAGCAGUGAAAUGCGUAGAGAUGUGGAGGAACACCGAUGGCGAAGGCAGCCCCCUGGGAUAACACUGACGCUCAGGCACGAAAGCGUGGGGAGCAAACAGGAUUAGAUACCCUAGUAGUCC